AUGGACACGCACCGGGCUUCUGGAAGUGGUUGGAAGCCGUGGCCUUGCCCAGCAGCUCACAGUGCAUCACCGCACCCCAGCAGGUGUCCUGCGAGGCCGUCACCUCCCAGGCAGGGCUGUAACUGUUUGCAUGGUCUGCCUCCCACCAGAAUGAGUGCAGGGUGGUGCAGGUGUCUUGGCGACCUUUCUUUUGCCCUGGAGGAAGAUGGCUCUGGUGCAAGGGGCGAGCUCUGGGCCACAGCUUUGGGGAGAGAACUGAGUCAAGUGGAGAGUUUCACAGAGCACAGGGGGAGGGGCACGGGGCAGCUCUGCAGCGAGGUGGCCCAGCAAAGACAGAAUCACCCCAGAAAGAAAGCUCUCCAACCACAGCCUGGAGGUGGGGUCAGGGCUUCGCUGCCAGCCCCCUUGCCUUCCCCUGACCACCCCAAGUUCUGCCCUGGUCCCGCCUCUCGGCCCCAGGAAUGGAGCUUUCUGCCAUUCCCAAUGGCAGAGCCGGUCUGGGAUUUCCUCAUCCAAGUGAAAGCCAACCCAGUUCUUCUCCUGCUCGAUACAUCUGUCCUCUGCUCUGGGCAAAGCUCUGGCCCAGAGACCUCUGAGAGCCGGGCAGCUCCCAGCCACAUCUGUCCCCGGGCCCCCUGGAUUUGGAGACACGGCUGUCCUGAGACUCAGCGAAACCGUCUGAGGAGCUGCUCCGCCCCUGCGUGCUCUGGUUACUGGGUGUUCUCGUAUUUCAGGUAUCUGAUCAGCCUGCCUGGAAGCGGCAACGUGUCCAGGAGUUUGAUGCGGUAUUUCCCGAUGGCCUUUCGAACUCGCAGCCGGCAAAGAUGAGCCAGGGGUCUUGGAG
rnacentral:lncRNA from 1 species